rnacentral:rRNA from 1 species
UACAGAGGGUGCGAGCGUUGUCCGGAUUGACUGGGCGUAAAGCGCACGCAGGCGGUUGCGCGCGUGGGGUGUGAAAUCUGGCCGCUUAACGGCCAGGCGCCAUCCCAUACGGCGCGACUGGAGGGCUGCAGAGGUCGAUGGAAUUGCCGGUGUAGUGGUGAAAUGCGUAGAGAUCGGCAGGAACACCCAGGGGGAAACCAGUCGACUGGGCAGCACCUGACGCUGAGGUGCGAGAGCGUGGGGAGCGAACCGG